GAUAACUCUCGAGACACACAUGGAAAUUAAUAUCUCGUUGCAGUGAGAAGUAUGGAUCGGGUUCAAUCGACAAGCUGAAGUUUCAGAAAAUCGUAUGGAUUUUCUUUGUCAAGAGGUAAUUUUGAAGAGUUUACAAAUUUCAAACAAACAUUUUCCACGGGUUCCUCCAUUAAGAGAACAAUAAAUGAUGAAUAUGUUUUAUAAAACCGGAUACCAAUUAAAGGAGAUAAAACAAUGGAGUUUGAGUAGAUUUACUGGAAGCAGUGGGUUUGUCACGAUAAACGAAGAAAAGCUAUAAAUCUUUGUAUAACCGAGGGUCAAUCCUCCUUCCAUUUAUGAAUUCUCUUCGUUCUCGUUGUCGGCUUUUUGACCGGUGGGUAAGUACCACUAGUCUCACUUGCUAACUACCGUUGAUUUGGCAGAAUUGAUGGCAAUGAGGAGUCAACUGGGGAAUACACCUCCACAAUUUUUCAACGUCCAAAUAUUUAAAUGCUCAUUUCCCCAUA